rnacentral:rRNA from 1 species
AUGAACGCUGGCGGCGUGCCUAAUACCUGCAAGUCGAGCGAACAGACGAGGAGCUUGCUCCUCUGACGUUAGCGGCGGACGGGUGAGUAACACGUGGAUAACCUACCUAUAAGACUGGGAUAACUUCGGGAAACCGGAGCUAAUACCGGAUAAUACAUUGAACCGCAUGGUUCAAUAGUGAAAGCCGGUUUUGCUGUCACUUAUAGAUGGAUCCGCGCCGCAUUAGCUAGUUGGUAAGGUAACGGCUUACCAAGGCAACGAUGCGUAGCCGACCUGAGAGGGUGAUCGGCCACACUGGAACUGAGACACGGUCCAGACUCCUACGGGAGGCAGCAGUAGGGAAUCUUCCGCAAUGGGCGAAAGCUUGACGGAGCAACGCCGCGUGAGUGAUGAAGGUCUUCGGAUCGUAAAACUCUGUUAUUAGGGAAGAACAAAUGUGUAAGUAACUAUGCACGUCUUGACGGUACCUAAUCAGAAAGCCACGGCUAACUACGUG